ACAGAGAGCUUGCUCUCGGGUGACGAGUGGCGGACGGGUGAGUAAUGUCUGGGAAACUGCCUGAUGAGGGGGAUAACUACUGGAAACGGUGGCUAAUACCGCAUAACGUCGCAAGACCAAAGAGGGGGACCUUCGGGCCUCUCACUAUCGGAUGAACCCAGAUGGGAUUAGCUAGUAGGCGGGGUAAUGGCCCACCUAGGCGACGAUCCCUAGCUGGUCUGAGAGGAUGACCAGCCACACUGGAACUGAGACACGGUCCAGACUCC
rnacentral:rRNA from 1 species